AGGACGAACGCUGGCGGCGUGCUUAACACAUGCAAGUCGAACGGUAAGGCCCUUUCGGGGGUACACGAGUGGCGAACGGGUGAGUAACACGUGGGUAACCUGCCCUGAUGACCGGGACAACUCGGGGAAACUCGAGCUAAUACCGGAUGUGCCCCCUCACAUCAGUGAGGUGUGUAAAGGAAGCUUCGGCCUCCGCAUUGGGAUGGGCCCGCGGCCCAUUAGCUUGUUGGUGAGGUAAAGGCUCACCAAGGCUGCGAUGGGUAGCUGGUCUGAGAGGACGAUCAGCCACACUGGGACUGAGACACGGCCCAGACUCCUACGGGAGGCAGCAGUGGGGAAUCUUGCGCAAUGCGCGAAAGCGUGACGCAGCAACGCCGCGUGGGGGAAGAAGGCCUUCGGGUUGUAAACCCCGUUUCAGGAGGGACGAAGCCUGGUCGGUUAACAGCCGGUCCAGGUGACGGUACCUCCACAAGAAGCCCCGGCUAACUACGUGCCAGCAGCCGC
rnacentral:rRNA from 1 species